rnacentral:rRNA from 1 species
UGUAAGCGUAUACCAAAGUUGUUGCAGUUAAAACGCUCGUAGUCGGAAUUUGGCAGUUCCGGAAGUGUGCACGUCGUGUGCGCACUUUGCGGGGACUGCUUUUGUGGUCUUGCGUAGGAUGAGGCACUUUCAUUAGUGAACGUCCUCACGCAACCACUCUUUACUGUGAGAAAAUCGGAGUGCUCAAAGCAGGCAUUUGCCGUGAAUGUAUUAGCAUGGAAUAAUAGAAUAGGACUCGGUUCUAUUUUGUUGGUUUGUUGGGACUGAGUAAUGAUUAAGAGGGACAGUUGGGGGCAUUUGUAUUCCGGCGCUAGAGGUGAAAUUCUUAGAUUGCCGGAAGACAAACUGCUGCGAAAGCGUCUGCCAAGGAUGUUUUCAUUGA